rnacentral:lncRNA from 1 species
GACCGUCGUUUCAGUGGCCUCCCCAAAUUCCUUUAUAACCGAAGAGUACAUAAACCCAACCUCAACACCCUAACCACUAACAUGUGGCUUGGUGCGACGGAUCGCCAUCUCCUCAACUCGUUGGAGGAGACUUAGGGCGCUGGAUCUGCUUUAGAGGAGACCUUGGGUCCUAGGUGUUGGCAAACAUAAUUUUAGUGAAAUGGCACGUG